GAUGAAGAACGCAGCGAAAUGCGAUAAGUAAUGUGAAUUGCAGAAUUCAGUGAAUCAUCGAAUCUUUGAACGCACAUUGCGCCCGCCAGUAUUCUGGCGGGCAUGCCUGUCUGAGCGUCAUUUCAACCCUCAUGCCCCUAGGGCGUGGUGUUGGGGAUCGGCCAAAGCCCGCGAGGGACGGCCGGCCCCUAAAUCUAGUGGCGGACCCGUCGUGGCCUCCUCUGCGAAGUAGUGAUAUUCCGCAUCGGAUAGCGAUGAGCCCCUGCCGUUAAACCCCCAACUUUCCAAGGUUGACCUCAGAUCAGGUAGGAAUACCCGCUGAACUUAAGCAUAUCAAUAAGCGGAGGA
rnacentral:misc_RNA from 1 species